rnacentral:rRNA from 2 species
GAGUACGGCCGCAAGGUUAAAACUCAAAUGAAUUGACGGGGGCCCGCACAAGCGGUGGAGCAUGUGGUUUAAUUCGAUGCAACGCGAAGAACCUUACCUACUCUUGACAUCCAGCGAAUCCUGUAGAGAUACGGGAGUGCCUUCGGGAACGCUGAGACAGGUGCUGCAUGGCUGUCGUCAGCUCGUGUUGUGAAAUGUUGGGUUAAGUCCCGCAACGAGCGCAACCCUUAUCCUUUGUUGCCAGCGGUUCGGCCGGGAACUCAAAGGAGACUGCCAGUGAUAAACUGGAGGAAGGUGGGGAUGACGUCAAGUCAUCAUGGCCCUUACGAGUAGGGCUACACACGUGCUACAAUGGCGUAUACAAAGAGAAGCGAACUCGCGAGAGCAAGCGGACCUCAUAAAGUACGUCGUAAUCCGGAUUGGAGUCUGCAACUCGACUCCAUGAAGUCGGAAUCGCUAGUAAUCGUGGAUCAGAAUGCC